CCUACGGGAGGCAGCAGUAGGGAAUAGUGCUCAAUGGGGGAAACCCUGAAGCAGCAACGCCGCGUGGAGGAUGAAGGUUUUCGGAUUGGAAACUCCUUUUGGUAGAGAAGAGAAUGACGGUAGCUAACGAAUAAGCACCGGCUAACGCCGGGCCAGCAGCCGCGGUAAGACGGAGGGGGCAAGCGUUACGCGGAAUCACGGGGCGUACAGAGCGCGGAGGCGGGAUAGCAAGUCAGAUGUGAAAUCCUAGGGCUUAACCAUAGAACUGCAUUUGAAACUGUUAUUCUAGAGUAUGGGAGAGGUCGGUUGACUUCUUGUUGUCGUGGUCCAAUCCGUAGACAUCAC
rnacentral:rRNA from 1 species